UACGAAGGGGGCUAGCGUUGCUCGGAAUCACUGGGCGUAAAGCGCACGUAGGCGGGUCCUUAAGUCAGGGGUGAAAUCCCGGAGCUCAACUCCGGAACUGCCUUUGAUACUGGGGAUCUUGAGUCCGGAAGAGGUGAGUGGAACUCCGAGUGUAGAGGUGAAAUUCGUAGAUAUUCGGAAGAACACCAAUGGCGAAGGCAGCUCGCUGGGACGUUACUGACGCUGAGACG
rnacentral:rRNA from 1 species